rnacentral:tRNA from 1 species
CCCCUUGUAGCUCAAUGGAUCGAGCAGUGCUCUUCUAAGGCAUUGAUGUAGGUUCGAUUCCUACCGAGGGGA